CACUCUUCUUAGUUUUAAAUCAGACAAUUGCCACUUUGUUUCCUCACCCAAAAUCAAUUUCCAAUUCUCUUUCCCUAUCUGUUUCCUCUAAACUGAACCACCCACCACCACUGCCAAACACCACCGAUGCAGCCACCCAACACCGCCACUGUCCACGACCAUCAACACCACCCCCACCACCUUCGACCCCCGCCAGCACCACCACACGCCCCACCGUCUCCCCUCUCCUCUCCCACGAAUCCCCCUGCUCCCUCCCCUGUUUCUUUUUCUCUUUCCUUGCUCGCACCACCACCAACGCCACCACAACCAGCAUCCAGCCCUACCACUCUACUUCUCCGGUCGACCACCACCACCACCACGCAGCAAACCCACCUCUCAGCCCCGCCUUUUCUCGUUCCCUCUCGCACUCCCCCCUUUUUCUCCCUCUUAUCCGCGAACCGUAGCCACGCGGCCAGCAUCGCUCAGCCACGCCGGCGUUUCCCGUCGCCGACCACCAAGCCCAGCCACCUCCCCUUCCUCUCCUUCCCCCUUCGUGCCCCCUUGAGCCGUGCACCCCCCUUCCCCUGCUCGUGCCAUUCUCCCAGGAACCAAAAACCAGAAAUUCAAUUUUUAAAACUUUGGUUUUUUAUUUUUCUUACUCAAACCCAAUUUAAGGUUGGGCCAAUUGAAUUGGACCUUUGGUAAGUUAAGAUCUGAAUUGCAUUUUCAGAUUUUCUCAUUAAUAAUUUGCUUGCCUUAAAUAAAUUUUGAUAACUUAGUUAUUUUCUAAUAAAAUUGUUUAUUAUUUUUCAAGUAGAAAAAUGUAUAUAUUUAAUUUUCGGUUUUACUAAAAUAAAGUAACUAGCUUGAAUUAAUAAAAAUGGAAUUUAAAUAAUAUUUUUAUGAUUUAUAAAAAUAUAUAUGUAUUUUUAUCGAAAAUUCGAUUAAUAAUAAUAUUUCGUUAAAUUUCGAAAUUAUGUUUUAUUAAAAAUUCGUUAUUUAUAAAUUCAUUACUUAUAAUUUUUUUAUAAAAUAUUGAUUUAAAAUUAUUUAUCGAUUUAGUACUACACUAGUGGAAAAAACCCCUGUUGUAGCCCCCUUGUUGAGGGGGGCAUACAUAAGCGCGCCUCAAUAGCUACUUAGUCAACGCGGGUCAAAUAUUUUACUAUUCGAUUGAGGCGGGCUUUUUUGGUGUUCGCUUCUACAGAAGCUGUUGAAGGGGGCUUUCCUUGUCCGCCUCAAUAGAGAGAAGCUGUUGAAGGGGGCUUUUAAUUGCCCGCCUCAAUAGGGUCCUUCUGUUGAAGGGGGCUUUUAAUUGCCCGCCUCAAUAGGCUACAUUAAAUUUAAAUCAAUUACAACCACCGCCAAACAGAUAAGCUUCUCUUCACAUCUCGUCGUACUUCACAUCUCUUCCAACGCAUACCUAUCCUCACCGCGCGACUCCACCACCACCAUAACCACCACCACCACCUUCCUCACCGCGCGGCUCCACCACCACCAUCUGAAGGAGAGUUUCCCCACCGUCGUCUUUCCUACCUUCGCGCGACUCCAUCUGUUUCACACAAUCGAUUUGUGAAGCUAGACUACUAAAGAGACUUAAUUACCCAGGAGCGACUGAAUUUGGGGUGGAUUUGUCUCAGGCCAACAUCUCAAUUCAACUUGAUGUUGGGAAGGGAGGAAAUAGUGGCUCAAAUGCUAUAGCACCCGUUGUAGAGGUGUAAACUUGGUGAAUGUCGUAUCCUCUUAUGUGAGCCAGGUUCCAAGCACAGGUUGCAGAAAUUGCAGUUGAAUUUUCCUAGGACCGUAGCUACCAUGGAUGAUCAUCGUGAUAAUGAAAUACAGGGAAUUGAUGGAGCUAGUCAUCCUACGGGGGAAUCACAAGGUACCAACACUAGUAAAAAGACCAAAUCCCGUGGUCCGUCAAAAGGAGUUCAAGCCAAAAAGCCUAUGCAUCUUCAGUAUAAUCAAUAUGGAAUCCCCGAUGGAGAAUGGUCAGGAGAAUACGGGAAGCAAGUUGGGUCUUGUGCUGCUAGAAUUAACAUUAAUGUGAAAGAAUAUUCAACGUUAGAUGAACACACAAAGAAGGGGUUUUGGGAGGAGACCAAGCUUCUGUUCCACAUUAUUGAUGAUCCGGCUAAAAGGAGAGAAAAAUAUUUUCAUAUGUGUGUGGCGAAACGCUUUGGAGCUUUCAAGUCCAGGUUAACGCGGCGUUGGAUAACUAAGAAAGAAAAAAUGCCGAAACAUCAGACAAAUGACAUGCCUUGGGACAUCUACCAUCAAAUCACAGAGGAUGAUUGGAAAACAUUUGUGAUAGAACGAAACAAGCCGGAGAUGUUGGUUCGUAGAGAAAAAGCAAGUAAAAGUGCAUUACAAAACAAGCACCCACAUCGCACAGGCCAAAAGGGUUAUGUUAGAAAGAGACCAGAGUGGAUAAAUGAUGGGCGACUACCGCCAGAGGCAGCUUUAACCCUCUCAAGUGGCUCCUCCUCAGUGACCUCAUCACUCACCACAGCGCCAGAUAGAUUUAAGAAGUUUAGAUCAGUAGAGUGGAUCUUGGCUCAUCAAGUUAAAAACAAAGAGGGAAAGUGGGAAGUUGACCCGAAUGAUAAAGAAGCCGUAAAUAUUGCUAAGAUGGCUUUGGAGUACAUAGAAGAAGAGGGAAAAGGAAAUAUUUCAUUCACCCAGGGAGAAGAUGCCCUCACCAAGGCUAUGGGAAAAAAGGAUCACCGUGGGCGUGUCAAGGCAACAGGUGGAGUUAAUGUCGGUUACAAAGUUGCUUUCGGUCCAAUAGACCAAAGUAGUAGAUGUGGCCAUAUUGAACCAUCACCGGAGGCUAUCGAAUCAAUCAGAGCUUCGGUGAGAAGGGAGUUUGAAGAUCAAUUAGAGAGAAAGGUGGCGGAGGCCCUCCAAAACCAACUAGCCACAUUGAAAGCAACCGGUCAACUACACACCCUCUCUACCCCCGCACUUGAUUCUGCUCUUGUAAGUGAUGAGUUUGAUGUUAACCGUGCACUCGUAACCUGUUGUCCGAGUUCAUCGCAGCAACCACGCGAGCUGAAGGCCAUAACUCCAUGUCGUCUUGCCCUUGAGGAUAAAGUUUUGGGUAACAAAGUGAUAGUGGCAGAUGGUAUGGCGUACCCAUUGGAUGGUUCGUUGCACCAACACUUUAGAUCGAUGAAGCCUAGUCAUUAUAAGGUCCAAGUUGAUUGUAUUUACGACGGACAUGAUGAUGACACUCUUCCGGUACCUACUGGAGAUGGAUUCAAUAACUUAGGCAGGGCUCUUGCUAGUUUUGUGCAAUGGCCAAUUCACUUGGUGAUUUUCGAAGAAGACGAGGAGUACUCUACUCCACGCCCAACAAAGAAGUCCAGGAGUCAGAUUUUUGAAGAGGUGGUUGGUAGCUCCAAAGAGAAGAAAAACGAAUUAAUUGUCAAAGAGAAGACAACAGAAUUAGUUGUCAAAGAUAAGACAACAGAAUUAAUUGUCAAAGAGAAGGCAACACUUGAUUUAGGGUCCAAAGAGAAGACAACACUGAAGUUAACGGCCAAGGAAAAUUCAUGCUCAAAUAAGUUGGAGUCGAAAUCGAAGUCGAAGAACUCUAAGACGGCCAAAGAGAUGGUAGGUAGUUGUGAUCGUAAAACUGAAGAAUCAGCCGCCAAAAGUAAGAAGCAAAAUUUGGCAGACGACACAAUUCAAGGUCUUGGCCCAUCAUGCAAUUAUUUGAAGUUUAUCAUCAAUACGGCGCCCGGUGAUGUAUAUAAAAAUACUUCAAUCCCAUUGCCCGCUUCGGUUUGGCAUUAUGACGAAGAUCGACAAACUUAUGUAAAUGAGGUUGACGUUGAAGAGUUCCUUAGAGGGGCGUGCCUCAACAUUUCAGUGAUCCAAGUCUAUAUGAUGUGUUUAUUCCACGAACACACCUUUGCAUUUGACAACUCUCAGAUUGGGGUUGUUUGUCCCGAGGCAAUGUCAAGCUCUAGAAUCAAGGCCAACCCUCAGGCUGCAUCAAUGUAUUUGAAAGUAGUUUUCAAUGCUGAAAUUGAAAAGGAGAAGAAGGGUGAUCCUAACAUUACCAAGUGGUUUUUGAUCCCAUACCAUCAAGAAAAUCAUUGGAUUUUGUACGUGUUAGACCUACGUAGAGGUUGUGCGUAUAUUUUCGACUCUGCGAUAGGUUCCAACCGAGAAAAUAGUGCAUGGGGAAUCUUGUGUUUGGCAUACCAAGUGUACAAGUUUAAUGAUGGGAUUUGUCCGAAUAGAGCGACUAUGCAGGGGUUGAAAGGCUUCCAUGUAAAGUGUGCUCAACAAGUCGGCGCCCGCGAGUGUGGCUAUUACGUUAUGAAGUUCAUGCAUGAAAUAGUCACGUUACACCAUAACACUGAUGAGCGGCUUACACUCCAAGAAAUGCGCCUUAUACCGAUGAGGAAAUAGAUGUGGUUCGUGAGCAAUGGGCUAAGUUUUUUACAACCAAGUAUUUAUUUACUUAGGUUGUUUAGACACAAAGAUGGAAGCGUUUAUAUCUUCAUGGAUUUGGCUAGGGAUCGAGUCGAUUGGAAGAAAGUCAACACGACCUUACUUAAGGUUUGUAAUGCAUGAUCUAAAGGGACCUAAGUGGCUGGAUUAGAGACAUUUGUUAGAUUAGCUCUCUAGCCUUUUGUCUUUAGUUGUUAAUAUUAGUUGUAAUUUGUUAGACUAGCUAGGUGUUUAAAAAUUGUAAACAUACGUACUAUAUAUACGCUUUGCUCUGUUGGGUUAAUAUAAAUGAAGUUAAUGUAAUGAUUUAUUUAUCAAAGAUAAGCAGAUUCAUACCUUUGCUA